AGAGCAGAAAUGGGAGGGGGGAGGAAAAAAGUGAGAAAUGAGAAAUCGAAGUGGAGCACCAUCCCUUUGAAAUCGACUCGAAAUCGAAACGCAGCGACCUGUCUGACAUGCUGAAUUAUUAAAUGAUCGAAGAGAGUUGAAAAAUAAUCGUGAAAAAUUUCGCCCGUUUCUCAUCAAUGUUUGAAGACGAGAGUGGGAUUAAAAAAAUUUUCCCAAAAAACUGGAAGAAUAUUUUAAAAGAUUUCGAUCAUCAAAUGUUUGAAAUGAUUUUAUUAUGCGAAUAAGAAACUUAAAGUAAAAGUACGCUUCGAAUAUUAGAAAAAUUUUGAACAGAUUUUUGUGGACAGAUUUAUUUUUAUAGAUUAUAGUGUUUUAUGUUAUCAAACGAAAUAUUUUUUUAUCGAAGAGCAUCGUGUCCACUCGAUUUCACGAGUUUGUUGAAGCAUUGAAUAUUUAAUACAAUUUGAUUUCGUAUUUUUUCAACACAAAGCUUUGAACUUUGA